rnacentral:pre_miRNA from 1 species
UACCCUGGGUUUCUCGCUCAUAAGGGGUUUAGCCUUACGGCGUAUCGUUAUGGCUAAACCCCUUAUGAGCGAGAAACCUGGGGU